rnacentral:rRNA from 1 species
CCAGCUCCAAUAGCGUAUAUUUAAGUUGUUGCAGUUAAAAAGCUCGUAGUUGGAUUUCGGGUGGGGUUGUGCGGUCCGCCUCUGGUGUGCACUGCUCGGCUCCACCUUCCUGCCGGGGACGGGCUCCUGGGCUUAACUGUUCGGGACUCGGAGUCGGCGAGGUUACUUUGAGUAAAUUAGAGUGUUCAAAGCAGGCCUACGCUCUGAAUACAUUAGCAUGGAAUAACACGAUAGGACUCUGGCCUAUCUGUUGGUCUGUGGGACCGGAGUAAUGAUUAAGAGGGGUAGUCGGGGGCAUUCGUAUUCCGUUGUCAGAGGUGAAAUUCUUGGAUUUACGGAAGACGAACAACUGCGAAAGCAUUUGCCAAGGAUACUUUCA